GCUCCCGGUGUCCCUCAGCCCGGCCCGGAGCGCUCCUGAGGAGCCUCCGGGAUGUGCCGGUGUAAAAUCCUGCUAAAAGCGGCGGCUCCGGGAUGUUCCGGGUCUCUCGGUGGGCCAGCCGGAUUUCAGGCGGAUUUAGGCGGCGGGAUGAGCUCCAAGGGAUGUCCCGCUCUUGGAAUGGCAGCGGUGGAAUUGCCUGGUUCGCGUUCGGGGCUGGACAGCGGUCCCAGGCCAAGGGGAGGAUAACGCGAUUUGAGGAUUCCCACCGAUACAGGGAAUACAGAAUUUGCCGGCCCCGAGGACAUUUGGCAGAAGGGCCAAGAUAAGGAAGAAGCCGAUAAAAACAGCUGGCCAGCUGUGCUGGAUCCCUGGGAAAGGAGGGGAUUCCAGGGGGAGCCGGUGGCCAGCAGCGAGCCGAGAAACCCCGAAAGCAGCGGAACACCGGGAAUCGGAUAUUCCAUGGGAAAGAGCCCGGCAUGUUGUCAAGGUGAAAUGAGAUUCUCAGCCUGGAGCUCGCCGCCCAUAAAUCUGGGAGCAGGAUUACCCCAGCGAUGGGAAUUGCAGCGUGGAUAAGAGCAGUGAAUAUUUAUUUUGGUCUGUCAAAUAAUCCUCCUGAUGCAGAAAGAGACAAAAAUUAAUCCAAACCACUCUGAUCUCUGUGCUGUUAAAAAAGAUGGGCAUGAAACAGCCUGAAAUGUCACUGUUUGGAUAAAUUCCAUGUAAAAUUUUUGACACGUGAAUCAACAAUAUUUUAUCUGAAUUCUCAAAAAAGCAAAUUAAUGCAAAAUAAACUAUUAAUAUCUGUUUA